rnacentral:rRNA from 1 species
AUACGUAGGUGGCGAGCGUUGUCCGGAAUUACUGGGUGUAAAGGGCGUGUAGGCGGGAAUGUAAGUCAGAUGUGAAAUACCAUGGCUCAACUGUGGGGCUGCAUCUGAAACUAUGUUUCUUGAGUGCUGGAGAGGAAAGCGGAAUUCCUAGUGUAGCGGUGAAAUGCGUAGAUAUUAGGAGGAACACCAGUGGCGAAGGCGGCUUUCUGGACAGUAACUGACGCUGAGGCGCGAAAGCGUGGGGAGCAAACAGGAUUAGAUACCCUGGUAGUCCACGCCGUAAACGAUGGAUACUAGGUGUAGGAGGUAUCGACCCCUUCUGUGCCGGAGUUAACACAAUAAGUAUCCCACCUGGGGAGUACGGCCGCAAGGUUGAA